ACCCUUUGGCCUGGAAUAACACGAGGAAACUUGUGCUAAUACCGGAUAAGUCUUUACGGAGAAAGCUUUAUGCACCAUUGGAUGAGCCCGCACUUGAUUAGUUUGUUGGUAGGGUAAUGGCCUACCAAGACUAUGAUCAAUAGCUGAUUUGAGAGGAUGAUCAGCCACAUUGGGACUGAGACACGGCCCAAACUCCUACGGGAGGCAGCAGUGGGGAAUCUUGCACAAUGGAGGAAACUCUGAUGCAGCGAUGCCGCGUGAGUGAAGAAGGCCUUUGGGUUGUAAAGCUCUUUCGUCGGGGAAGAAAAUGACUGUACCCGAAUAAGAAGGUCCGGCUAACUUCGUGCCAGCAGCCGCGGUAAUACGAAGGGACCUAGCGUAGUUCGGAAUUACUGGGCCUAAAGAGUUCGUAGGUGGUUGAAAAAGUUGGUGGU
rnacentral:rRNA from 1 species